rnacentral:rRNA from 1 species
UCUACGGGAGGCAGCAGUAGGGAAUCUUUCACAAUGGGCGAAAGCCUGAUGGAGCAACGCCGCGUGCAGGAUGAAGGCCUUCGGGUUGUAAACUGCUUUUAUAAGCGAGAAAUAUGAUGUUAACUUAUGAAUAAGGAUCGGCUAACUACGGGCCAGCAGCCGAGGUCAUACGUAGGAGCCGAGCAUUAUCCGGAGUGAGUGGGUGUAAAGAGUUGCGUAGGUGGCAUAAUAAGUAGUUGGUGAAAUCUGUUGGCUCAACCAUUCAGACUAUUAGUUAAACUGUUAAGCUCGAGACCGUUAGGGGUAACUGGAAUUACUAGUGUAGGAGUGAAAUCCGUAGAUAUUAGAAAGAACACCAAUAGCGUAGGCAGGUUACUGGGACGGUUCUGACGCUAAGGCACGAAAGCGUAGGGAGCAAACGGGAUUAGAUACCCGGGUAGUC